AGUCUUAGCCACUAUAGGUCCCAGUUCUUUGAAAAGAGUGGGAUAUACUGUAUAUAAAUAUAUAAAUAUAAUCAUAAUCAUAAUAAUACAAAAUCUUAUGCUGCCAACUUCUUUCUUUCAGUUAGUCUCAAAGGUGCUGCAAAAGGAACCAUAACCACAAGCGAUCAUUCCUCUGUUCAUUUAAAGGUGCCACCUUUCAAUCCUCUGGAGGACUGUGCACCUGAAAAAGGACAGAGAAAUCAGGAUUUUGUUUUUCUUUUUGACAGCAUCAUCCCUUUUGAAGCCCGCUGCUUGCAGUAUUCCAAAUGGACAUUCCCCAAAUGAGGGUUUGAUAAUGGAAGGCACAGUUGCCUCAGCAUCGAGUCAAAGGAGGGCACCAUGUCCCAUCUCAUUUCCAUGACAUCAAAGAUAUUGGCUAUUUCUCCGCAGAGAAGAGAGGGCGGUUUGUCAUGCCACCAGUUUCUUCUGAAGUGACAGAGAAUCUUAUAGGAUCUUCCCCAGGCCCACCUUUGUAACACAUCUCACUUUAAAGUCAUGUGCAUCUUCGCAGGCCUAAGGAUUUGUUCCACGAUGAAACUCCCCAAGAUGGUCGAGAUUAUUCGUAUCUACUCAUGGAGCUUCUCUGGAUCUGGAAUGAAAGUGAUGAUCUUCUCGAUGACGCAGAGUGCCUUCUCCUGAGGAGAGAAAGACAUUCUGGCCUCAGGAAUAAGAGGACACCUCUUGCGGAGAAUCAGCACAGACCUUGUGAUGGUGUGAUAUCCUUACCUGGGCCUUGAUCUGCAUCUCAUCUGGCGAAUGGCAAGGUUGCUGGGAGAUCUGUAGUAGCACCAGGUGGAGCACUUCGUCCAUCUUGCAAUUCUCUCUGGUGAGGACGCCAGUCAUCAAGUCAUCACAGUCUCUGACAAGAGAAAUGUAACAAGUCACCUGGAUACUGAGGACCCCGGGGAUGUUUGUCAGAGGAGGAGAAGCAAUCCAUCUACCCUUCCGAUGACUCCAAUUCGUGGUCCACAAAGACGGUCAUAUCCCCUUCGGCAACCAUGUUUGCAAUCUUCACGGCCUUUUCACGGUUGGAACGGCUGGAAUCUUCGCAUAGGUGAUGGAGCAAUGCCUUCUGUUAUCAGGGGCCCUGGGGACUCUAAGCGCCGUGGGAAUGACGAUGCCUUCUUGGUGGAGCUAGUGAAGUUUGAGUUUGAAUCUGGAAAGCUAGCUUUGUGGGUUGUGAGAAUCUUCCUGCUGCUGUUCCCUGUCUCCUGGGUCUUUGAGCACAUCCUCCAAAUCCAGAGAGUCUUUCUCUCCCUCUGAGGCCUGGACCAAGGCAGAUGGACUGGAGGGAGGCUCGGCUUCUUAAGCUUAGAAUGAAUUUGGAUCCCAAUAACCGCUGAAGGACGACGCUUGGGUCAUUAGGACUCUCUUUGCUUACCGGCUCAGUAAGACAGUGUUCCUCCUCACUGCUCUCAGGGGUAGCCAGCUCAUCCCAGGUAUCUCCAGACUCUGAACAUCUAAAAUGACGGGAGGAAAAGACCAUCCCUCCUGUCUACAAAUCCCCUAGAAAGCUGUUUGUCAGAGAAGGAGGAGAAGCAAUCCAUCUACCCUUCUGAUGAUUCCAGUAUAUGAUUGGUAAAGAGGUCCAUAUUCCUCUUGACAACUAUAGCUGCAAUCUCCAUGGCCUUUUCAUGGUUGGAAGGGCUGUAAUCUUUACACAUGUCGUGAAAACCUGUUUUUGUCUGUCAUGGAAAAAAUCGGGAGGGGGGAUUUGGUAACUGGCAUUUGCUGUAACAAGCCUUGGAAAUUGAUUCCAAUUUUCAUGGAAGUCAGAAGACAUAGGACCCCUUUACUAUUAUUAUGGGAGAGGCUGCUUUCCUGGCCUCUCCAGGACUAGUUCUGACAAUAGACUAUGAUAUGAGCUGAAAAAGCCCAAUGCUCACUAGUCCAGCCUCCCUGGUUGCUCUGAGAUGAAUUUCCCACCCGAAAGGUCUAUGGAAGAGGUGCCCUGGGGUCUCUAAGUGCCCCGAGGAGGACGAUGCCUUCUUGGUGGAGGUAGCAAAGCUAUCAGGGUAGACCUGCUAGUGGUCCUUUUCAGAGGAACUGUAUGCCUCACCUCCAGUGAUGCCAAAGGGGAGCCUUGGUAGGGAAUGGGGGCAUGUUCCUCUUGGUCCUGGGAGCUGUGUAGAAAAGCACAAGGAGGUGAUAUGUGACAUUGGGGCCAUAAAAACUAUACUGAAUUGGUUUGUGGAGACAAUUCUCAUGUUUUGUCCUUUGUAUUGUCUGCCUUUUCUUUUAAACGUUUUACGCUUUUUGAUAAGCUCAUGUUGUCAUGGCCUUUGGCUAGUGCAAUAAACUUGAUG